rnacentral:rRNA from 1 species
AUGCAUUGGGUGUCAUGGAAAGAGUUAGCUACACCCAAGUGCAAUGGUGGUAUGGGUUUCUGAGACCUACACCAAUUUAACCUUGCAAUAUUGGGAAAUCAUGGAUGGCGGUUUUUGACAAAUCUGAACUCCUUCCAUACAAGAGUUUUGAAAGGCCUAUACUUUCGUGACACUGAUUUCAUGCAAGCAUCCGCCCCCAAGUCGGCCUCAUCCACAUGGAAGGCGAUCAUUGCGGGAAGAGAGGCGCUAAGGAUUGGGUUCAUUUCAUGA